rnacentral:rRNA from 1 species
AUUGAACGCUGGCGGCAGUCCUAACACAUGCAAGUCGAGCGGAUGAAGGGAGCUUGCUCCUGGAUUCAGCGGCGGACGGGUGAGUAAUGCCUAGGAAUCUGCCUGGUAGUGGGGGAUAACGUCCGGAAACGGGCGCUAAUACCGCAUACGUCCUGAGGGAGAAAGUGGGGGAUCUUCGGACCUCACGCUAUCAGAUGAGCCUAGGUCGGAUUAGCUAGUUGGUGGGGUAAAGGCCUACCAAGGCGACGAUCCGUAACUGGUCUGAGGGGAUGAUCAGUCACACUGGAACUGAGACACGGUCCAGACUCCUACGGGAGGCAGCAGUGGGGAAUAUUGGACAAAGGGCGAAAGCCUGAUCCAGCCAUGCCGCGUGUGUGAAGAAGGUCUUCGGAUUGUAAAGCACUUUAAGUUGGGGGGAAGGGCAGUAAGUUAAUACCUUGCUGUUUUGACGUUACCAACAGAAUAAGCACCGGCUAACUUCGUG